rnacentral:lncRNA from 10 species
GGUUGAGUAAGCUGCGUGUCACCUCCUCUUUGAAGCCUUCCCUGACCACCCUCCCCAGCCACUGCUUUGUGCUCCCACUGGACCCCGUGCAGCCUUCGCUUACAGAACCCGUGAACUGUCCGCACUCAUUGGCUUCUAUAUUUGAAUCCCUGGCUAUAGAGCAAACACCUUGAGAGUGGCAGUGAGCGUCUCUGUCACUCCCCAUCCACUGCCACUCCUGGUCGUCCUUGUAGAGAAUGUUGAAUGAACAGAAGCUUGGGUUCUCCAGAAUCCUUGUUUUGCUCUCUAAAUCCCAUUUAGCACAUUUAGCCUCGAGCUACUUGCCAUUUCCAACAAGGAUGAAUCAAGCCUUUGGAUUUUCUAACAAAGACGUGUAUGGUGGGAAAUACAGGCCAUUGAUACCCAACAUCAGGGAGGAAG